UACGAAGGGGGCUAGCGUUGCUCGGAAUUACUGGGCGUAAAGGGCGCGUAGGCGGAUGCUUAAGUUGGGGGUGAAAGCCCAGGGCUCAACCCUGGAAUUGCCUUCAAUACUGGGCAUCUUGAGUACGGGAGAGGUGUGUGGAACUCCGAGUGUAGAGGUGAAAUUCGUAGAUAUUCGGAAGAACACCGGUGGCGAAGGCGGCCCGCUGGGCAGGAAGGCUCGCAAGAGCCGGCUGACGCUGAGGCGCGACAGCGUGGGGAGCAAACAGG
rnacentral:rRNA from 1 species